UACGUAGGGUGCGAGCGUUAAUCGGAAUUACUGGGCGUAAAGCGUGCGCAGGCGGUUUUUUAAGACAGGCGUGAAAUCCCCGGGCUCAACCUGGGAACUGCGCUUGUGACUGGAAGGCUAGAGUAUGGCAGAGGGGGGUGGAAUUCCACGUGUAGCAGUGAAAUGCGUAGAGAUGUGGAGGAACACCGAUGGCGAAGGCAGCCCCCUGGGCCAAUACUGACGCUCAUGCACGAAAGCGUGGGGAGCAAACAGG
rnacentral:rRNA from 1 species